GGGGGCGGUCCCGGCGCCUCCACCAAAGUAUAAUCAACAAAGAUUUUAUUUUUAUGGGGGCGAAACAGGAUCGACAAGGGUGUAAAGAUUCGCUCUUUUACUCGGCAUUCUACCACCGUUAUCGGGCUAGAUGAAUAGUUGCAAAUGACAACUAUGCGGAGGCACGUCUCAUCGCUGCUUAAGCGAUGCGAAGGCUUCAAAUUAAGUCUUAAACCGUCGCAGGUUUAAGCGGGGUUCGAAGGCACCUGGAAACAGAAGCCCA
rnacentral:tmRNA from 1 species